rnacentral:rRNA from 1 species
AUUGAACGCUGGCGGCAUGCCUUACACAUGCAAGUCGAACGGCAGCACGGGAGCAAUCCUGGUGGCGAGUGGCGAACGGGUGAGUAAUAUAUCGGAACGUGCCCAGUCGUGGGGAUAACGUAGCGAAAGCUACGCUAAUACCGCAUACGAUCUAUGGAUGAAAGCGGGGGAUCGCAAGACCUCGCGCGAUUGGAGCGGCCGAUAUCAGAUUAGGUAGUUGGUGAGGUAAAGGCUCACCAAGCCGACGAUCUGUAGCUGGUCUGAGAGGACGACCAGCCACACUGGGACUGAGACACGGCCCAGACUCCUACGGGAGGCAGCAGUGGGGAAUUUUGGACAAUGGGCGCAAGCCUGAUCCAGCAAUGCCGCGUGCAGGAUGAAGGCCUUCGGUUGUAACUGCUUUG